rnacentral:rRNA from 1 species
CCUACGGGGCGCAGCAGUGAGGAAUAUUGGUCAAUGGACGAGAGUCUGAACCAGCCAAGUAGCGUGAAGGAUGACUGCCCUAUGGGUUGUAAACUUCUUUUAUAUGGGAAUAAAAUGUUCCACGUGUGGGAUUUUGUAUGUACCAUAUGAAUAAGGAUCGGCUAACUCCGUGCCAGCAGCCGCGGUAAUAUGGAGGAUCCGAGCGUUAUCCGGAUUUAUUGGGUUUAAAGGGAGCGUAGGUGGAUUGGUAAGUCAGUUGUGAAAGUUUGCGGAUCAACCGUAAAAUUGCAGUUGAAACUGGGAGUCUUGAGUACAGUAGAGGUGGGCGGAAUUCGUGGUGUAGCGGUGAAAUGCUUAGAUAUCACGAAGAACUCCGAUUGCGAAGGCAGCUCACUGGACUGCAACUGACACUGAGGCUCGAAAGUGUGGGUAUCAAACAGGAUUAGAUACCCGUGUAGUC